UAGAUUACAUAAAAACCUUUUACACACUUUUUGUCAAUUACCUGGUAGUCUGUUCUCUGUGGUUAAAGUUUAAGUCGAGGUUUAAGUCACAACGUCACAGGGAUAAAGUUUACCAGCAUCAGGAAAAAAUAUGCUGCAAGGUUUGUUUGGAACCAUGUUUACAGCAUCGGUUGCUGUUGUUAUGCUUUUAGCAGGUGUUUUGGGUCCUACAAUCUAUCGAUCCAUCAGGUCGCAACCGGCGCACGACUAUGAUUCAGGUUCAAGUUAUAAUUAUCGGCGUAAUUACAACAGAAACCAAGAUGAAAACUAGCUGACCCGGCAGACUUCGUAGUUCGUACUGCCAAUUGUAGGGGAGACUGCGACAGGUUCAGUCCAAUUUUGUUUUCAGUCCGUAAAAUACUUAAUCAGAAUGUUUUAAUUAUGAGUGUUAUAUACCACAGAGAACAGAUUUACAGAUUUUUUGUGUGUAAAAUCUGUCGGUAGCGCCCUCCAGAAAUAGUUUGCCAAACGCAUAAAAAAUGUCCAUGUACCCUUAUCCUAGGACAGGACAUGUUUAUUGUUUUGGCGAUUCCCUUUCAAAAUUUACUAUACGGCAAUGAAAAGUGUUUCCAAGAAUGCAGCUCCAGUUUAUGAUAGAAGCCACUUGUCCUAGUUGAUCACUAAUUACACAAAACAGAUUCAAUUCGGCCGAAUUACACUUUCACUUGAGUUUAGUUUGUUUUAUGCUAACACGCCGCGUUAAACAAACUGUUAAAAUUCUAGUAACGUUAAAAAUUUGAUGGUCUCAGUGUUUGCUGUGGUUUCCAGCAACACUUUUGCGCUUCUCUUGUGAAUUUUUGUUUCUACAGUUGCACGCAUGAAAUCAGCCAAUCAGGAAGCUGGCUCUUUUGCGAUACAACAUGUCAUGUCCUGUCCUAGCCGUUAUCAAUAUUUCCAAGAAUAUUUCUUUGUGCUGGAGUUCAUAGCACCGAUGGCAGCGACAUCAAGAUUUAGUUUGCCACUUACUGCUCUAUUGAAGGAUACUCGUAUUACAUAAAAACAUUUUACACACUUUUUGUCAAUUACCUGAUAGUCUGUUCUCUGUGGUUAUACUUCAUUAGAAAGGUAUUUCUAUUGUCUAUACAGAAAAAAUUGCAAAAUAUUUGAUUUUGGAAAAAUAAA